rnacentral:lncRNA from 1 species
CUGCAUCUUACUGACAGAUGAGUAUGAACUCUAAGCAAAUAAUCCAGAGGAAUGCUAAGGUGCAACUUGGUGUUUUCUCACUGAUCCCUAAUGCUGAUUUUAUUAUUAUUAUUAUUAUUAUUAUUAUUAUUAUUAUUAAUUAUUGAGAUAGGGUCUUGCUGUGUCACUCAGGCUGAAAUGUAGUGGCGUGAUCUCAGCUCACUGCAACAUCUGCUUCCCAGGCUCAAGCCAAUCCUCCCACCUCAGCCUACUGAGUAGCUGGAUGACAGGCACACAACACCAUGCCUGGCUAGUUUUUUUUGUAAAGAUGGGGUUUCAUCAUGUUCCCAGGCUGGUCUUGAACUCAAGUGAUCCACCUUUCCCGGCCUCCCAAAGUGCUGGGAUUACAGGUGUGAGCCACGGUGCCCAGCCCUAAUGCUGAUUUUCAUUUACUCUUCCCAGAGCUGAUUGUAAAAACUGAAGCUAAAAACUCUUAUAAAGUAGAGUGUUCUCAGGACCACCGCACUGCACAACUCUAGGGGUGCCAUAUAUGUUUUGCCAUAUGAAUAGUGCCCGUUGGAGCUGAGCAGGACACAGCCUGCCCAGAUUUGCCAGGGUCAGAGUGAGACGUCUCUCACAGGCUGCCCAAAGGGAAGGGCAGUAAUUGUCCC